CCAGACUCCUACGGGAGGCAGCAGUGGGGGAUAUUGCACAAUGGAGGAAACUCUGAUGCAGCGACGCCGCGUGAGGGAAGACGGUCUUCGGAUUGUAAACCUCUGUCUUUGGGGAAGAAAUCAGACGGUACCCAAAGAGGAAGCUCCGGCUAACUACGUGCCAGCAGCCGCGGUAAUACGUAGGGAGCGAGCGUUGUCCGGAAUUACUGGGUGUAAAGGGAGCGUAGGCGGGCUUGUAAGUUGAAUGUCUAAUCCACCGGCUCAACCGGUGAUCGCGUUCAAAACUGCAGGUCUUGAGUGAAGUAGAGGCAGGCGGAAUUCCUAGUGUAGCGGUGAAAUGCGUAGAUAUUAGGAAGAACACCAGUGGCGAAGGCGGCUUUCUGGACUGAAACUGACGCUGAGGCACGAAAGCGUGGGGAGCGAACAGGAUUAGAUACCCCAGUAG
rnacentral:rRNA from 1 species